rnacentral:rRNA from 1 species
UUGUCUCUCUUGAGUGGAUCCUGAGUACGACGGAGCACGUGAAAUUCCGUCGGAAUCUGGGAGGACCAUCUCCUAAGGCUAAAUACUCUCUAGUGACCGAUAGUGAACCAGUACCGUGAGGGAAAGGUGAAAAGCACCCCGGAAGGGGAGUGAAAUAGAACCUGAAACCGUGUGCUUACAAGUAGUCAGAGCCCGUUAAUGGGUGAUGGCGUGCCUUUUGUAGAAUGAACCGGCGAGUUACGAUUUGAUGCAAGGUUAAGCAGUAAAUGUGGAGCCGUAGCGAAAGCGAGUCUGAAUAGGGCGUUUAGUAUUUGGUCGUAGACCCGAAACCAGGUGAUCUACCCUUGGUCAGGUUGAAGUUCAGGUAACACUGAAUGGAGGACCGAACCGACUUACGUUGAAAAGUGAGCGGAUGAACUGAGGGUAGCGGAGAAAUUCCAAUCGAACCUGGAGAUAGCUGGUUCUCUCCGAAAUAGCUUUAGGGCUAGCCUCAAGUGAUGAUUAUUGGAGGUAGAGCACUGUUUGGACGAGGGGCCCCUCUCGGGUUACCGAAUUCAGACAAACUCCGAAUGCCAAUUAAUUUAACUUGG